rnacentral:rRNA from 1 species
GGGAGGAAGGCUUCGGCCGGAAAACCUGUCGUUGAGUGGCGGACGGGUGAGUAACGCGUGGGCAACCUGGCCUGUACAGGGGGAUAACACUUAGAAAUAGGUGCUAAUACCGCAUAACGGGGGAAGCCGCAUGGCUUUUCCCUGAAAACUCCGGUGGUACAGGAUGGGCCCGCGUCUGAUUAGCCAGUUGGCAGGGUAACGGCCUACCAAAGCGACGAUCAGUAGCCGGCCUGAGAGGGCGGACGGCCACACUGGGACUGAGACACGGCCCAGACUCCUACGGGAGGCAGCAGUGGGGGAUAUUGCACAAUGGGGGGAACCCUGAUGCAGCGACGCCGCGUGGGUGAAGAAGCGCCUCGGCGCGUAAAGCCCUGUCAGCAGGGAAGAAAAUGACGGUACCUGAAGAAGAAGCCCCGGCUAACUACGUGCCAGCAGCCGCGGUAAUACGUAGGGGGCAAGCGUUAUCCGGAUUUACUGGGUGUAAAGGGGGCGCAGACGGCGAUGCAAGCCAGGAGUGAAAGCCCGGGGCCCAACCCCGGGACUGCUCUUGGAACUGCGUGGCUGGAGUGCAGGAGGGGCAGGCGGAAUUCCUGGUGUAGCGGUGAAAUGCGUAGAUAUCAGGAGGAACACCGGUGGCGAAGGCGGCCUGCUGGACUGCAACUGA